GCAAGUCGAGCGAGAAAGUUCUUCGGAACGAUUACAGCGGGGACGGGUCAGUAACGCGUAGGAAUCUAGCUAGUAGUGGGGGACAACAUGUGGAAACGCAUGCUAAUACCGCAUACGCCCUAAGGGGGAGAGCAGGGGAUCUUCGGGCCUUGCGCCAUUGGAUGAGCCUGCGUCGGAUUAGCUAGUUGGUGGGGUAAAGGCCUACCAAGGCGACGAUCCGUAGCUGGUCUGAGAGGAUGAUC
rnacentral:rRNA from 1 species